AUGCUCCAUUUAGGCUAAGCUCCAUUUACUCCAUUUAAGGUUUGGAUGCAAGACAUGUGGCAAAAAAAUAUCCAACGGUUGAGAUUUUAAAUUAAAAAACAAUAAAAGGUUGUUGCCAUAUGAGAGAAGAAGGGAACAUGAUUUGUUUGUUAUUAUUAUGUAUUUUUAUUAAACAAAUAUUUGGUUUUUAAUUUAAAAUCUUAACCGUUGGAUACUUUUUUGUCACAUGUCUUUCAUCCAAACCCUAAAUAGAGUAAAUGGAUCUUAGCCUAAAUGGAGCAUACCUGAA
rnacentral:lncRNA from 1 species